ensembl:lncRNA
AGCGGCGUGGGCCGCUGACAGAAUCCUCUCACUGAAUGAAGCUGAUGCUGUGGACUCUUCCCAAACCGAAAUGAGAGGUUAUAGCUCAGUUUUAUUUGGCAAGCAAAGGAAAAUACUUCCUCAAGGCAUGAAGGCAGGCCAACCCAAAAGAAAGUCCUUAUGGCGGUGUUCAUCUACAGCUAAAGAAGAGUUUCAGAAAUGACACAACUGGAAGUCUAUUCCAGCAGAGGACUUCAGACUGAGGAUUUUCCAAGGUGCUCUAAAGCAACUGGUCUCCAAACCAGCUGACUGAAGACCUUCGGAAUAAAUAGAGGACUUCAGAUAAGGGAUAGCUUCUGCCCAAGAUGUCAGACCAACACCGGUGGUAAAGCCCUGUUUUGUCUACCAUGAUACUGUAAAUCAAUUUUAUUUCCAAAAAAAAAAGGAACCCAAAAAACCCCUAUUUUAUUUUUCAUCUGCUUGCCCAUAGUUACUCUUCUC